CUCCACGUCGCCGUGGCCCUGGUAGACCGGCGGGAGCGCGGAGGCCAGCGUGAUCUGCUGGUACUUGUAGGAGGCGUAGACGUCGAGGCGGUCGUAGUAGACGCCGACGCGGUCGUUGGGGUUGCGGGAGGCGACGGUGACCUGGAGCACGGUGGAGAGCACGCCGGCGGCGGCGGAGGCGUUGGCGGUGAGCACGUCCAGCUGCCGGAGCGAGGCGUCCUGGAGGUAGAAGCGCGGGUGCGUGGGGCGGAGGACCAGGUAGACGAUGAGGGCGAUGACGGCGACCACCAGGGCCAGGAAGAAGAGGAUGGCCAGGAGGCGCCGGCACGCCCGCCGGACGUCGUCCUCGCCGUGGUUGCCGCAGUCCUUGCCCAUGGCGUCCGAGCUGCUUUUCGCCGAGCUUGCUUUGCUUUAGGACGCGUGUGGGAGAGGAGAGGAGAGGAGAGCAGAGCAAGAAGAGGGGUGGUGUCUGGUUGAAAGUGAGGUGGCCAGGCCGCUCCGGUGGCGUGAAUAAAACGGGCUCUCCGAAUUGAGUCGUGAUUUCCGAAAUAAAAUAAAGCAAAUUGCGUCAUGGUUCUUUUAUGGGUCAUCACCUUUUAUUUUAAUAUAUUAUGUUUGUGUGGGGCAGAGAUUGUGUGAGGUGAUCAUGUUUAAAUCAUGGAGGCAGUACAAUACACAGCAGCUCUCUUGUGGCCUCUUUGAACUUGGAGUAAUUUUGAGAAGAGUUAAAUGCACUCAAGGUCCUUGAAAGUUUCACCAGGGUGUUAUUUUCGUUCCAAUUAUUUUAAAAGUGCAUCUUUAAGUCUUAAUCUUUUGAUAAGUGGUUCAUCCCAGGUCUUUUUUCACGAGUUUGAUUGACUUGUCCGUGUGAUGCGUUGACCACGCCAUAUCGAUUGAGGGUUCAACUGCCACACGUCGAUUGAGGGCUCAACCGCCACACGAGAAAAGCACACACCACCACAUGUUGCUCCUUUUUAUAUAGAAAGACCCUUGUGACCCAUCUCUUACAUUUCCCAACCCCUACCAAAUAUCUCUCUAUCCCUCUCUUUCUUUCUCUCUUCCUCUCCCUCUCUCCCUCUCGUGCCCACACCGUUGCCAUGGCUGGAGCAGCAAGCUCCUCGANNNNNNNNNNNNNNNNNNNNNNNNNNNNNNNNNNNNNNNNNNNNNNNNNNNNNNNNNNNNNNNNNNNNNNNNNNNNNNNNNNNNNNNNNNNNNNNNNNNNAAGAGAUAAACCAGCCCCUAGUGGGCUGGAAUAAGUUCCCACUAAGGCCCAUAAGGUUUGAGAAGDAAAAACACAAGGUGGAAAGAGUUUCCAAGUGGGAAGGUGGAAUCCUACUCCAAGUAGGAUUGGAGUAGGACUCCUCCACCUCCAAUUUCGGCCAAACCUUUAGGUUUUGAGGCUGCCUCCUCCCCUCCCUCCCUCCUAUAUAUAGUGGGGUUUUAGGGCUGAUUUGAGACAACUUUUGCCACGGCAGCCCGACCACAUACCUCCACGGUUUUACCUCUAGGCCGCGUUUCUGCGGAGCUCGGGCGGAGCCCUGCUGAGAUUAUAUCACCACCAACCUCCGGAGCGCCGUCACGCUGCCGGAGAACUCAUCUACCUCUCCAUCUCUCUUGCUGGAUCAAGAAGGCCGAGAUCAUCGUCGAGCUGUACGUGUGUUGAACGCGGAGGUGCCGUCCGUUCGGCACUAGAUCGGAGCGGAUUGUGGGACGGAUCGCGGGACGGUUUGUGGGACGGUUCACGGGGCGGAUCGAGGGACGUGAGGACAUUCCACUACAUCAACCGCGUUCACUAACGCUUCUACUAUGCGAUCUACAAGGGUACGUAGAUCGGAAAUCCCCUCUCGUAGAUGGACAUCACCAUGAUAGGUCUUCGUGCGCGUAGGAAUUUUUUUGUUUCCCAUGCGACGUUCCCCAACAGUGGCAUCAUGAGCUAGGUUCAUGCGUAGAUGUCUUCUUGAGUAGAACACAACAGUUUUUUGUGGGCGGUGAUGUGCGUUUUGCUGCCCUCCUUAGUCUUUUCUUGAUUCCGCGGUAUUGUUGGAUCGAAGCGGCUCAGACCGACAUUACUCGUACGCUUACAAGAGACUGGUUUCAUCGCUACGAGUAACUCCGUUGCUCAAAGAUGACCGACGAGUGUCAGUUUCUCCAACUUUAGUUGAAUCGGAUUUGACCGAGGAGGUCCUUAGAUGAUGUUAAAUAGCAAUUCAUAUAUCUCCGUUGUGGUGUUUGCGUAAGUAAGAUGCGAUCCUACUAGAUACCCAUGGUCACCACGUAAAACAUGCAACAACAAUUAGAGGACGUCUAACUUGUUUUUGCAGGGUAUGCUUGUGAUGUGAUAUGGCCAACGAUGUGAUGUGAUAUAUUGGAUGUAUGAGAUGAUCAUGUUGUAAUAGUUAGUAUCGACUUGCACGUCGAUGGUACGGCAACCGGCAGGAGCCAUAGGGUUGUCUUUAAACUAACGUUUGUGCUUGCAGAUGCGUUUACUAUAUUGCUAGGACGUAGCUUUAGUAGUAAUAGCAUGAGUAGCACGACAACCCCGAUGGCGACACGUUGAUGGAGAUCAUGAUGAUGGAGAUCAUGGUGUGACGCCGGUGACAAGAAGAUUGUGCCGGUGCUUUGGUGAUGGAGAUCAAGGAGCACAUGAUGAUGGCCAUAUCAUGUCACUUAUGAAUUGCAUGUGAUGUUAAUCCUUUUAUGCACCUUAUUUUGCUUAGAACGACGGUAGAAUUAUGAGGUGAUCUCUCACUAAAAUUUCAAGACGAAAUUGUGUUCUCCCCGACUGUGCACCGUUGCUACAGUUCGUCGUUUUGAGACACCACGUGAUGAUCGGGUGUGAUAGACUCAACGUUCACAUACAACGGGUGCAAAACAAUUGCACACGCGGAACACUCGGGUUAAGCUUGACGAGCCUAGCAUGUGCAGACAUGGCCUCGGAACACAUGAGACCGAAAGGUUGAGCAUGAAUCGUAUAGUUGAUAUGAUUAGCAUAGAGAUGCUUACCACUGAAACUAUUCUCGACUCGCGUGAUGAUUGGACUUGAGAUAGUGGAUUUGGAUCAUGUACCACUCAAAUGACUAGAGAGAUGUACUUUUUGAGUGGGAGUUCUUAAGUAAUAUGAUUAAUUGAACUAAUUGUCGUGAACAUAGUCUAAUGGUCUUUGCGAAUUACGAUGUAGCUUGCGCUAUAGCUCUACUGUUUUUAUAUGUUCCUAGAGAAAAUUUAGUUGAAAGUUGAUAGUAGCAAACUUUGCAGACUGAGUUUGUAAAACCGAGGAUUGUCCUCGUUGCUGCGUAGAAGGCUUAUGUCCUUAAUGCACCACUCGGUGUGCUGCACCUCGAGCGUCGUCUGUAGAUGUUGUGAA
rnacentral:lncRNA from 1 species